rnacentral:rRNA from 1 species
GGAUUGGCACUGCAUCCAUGCUAUUAGCGGCGGACGGAGUGAGUAACACGUGGGUAACCUGCCUGUAAGACUGGGAUAACUCCGGGAAACCGGGGCUAAUACCGGAUGCUUGUUUGAACCGCAUGGUUCAAACAUAAAAGGUGGCUUCGGCUACCACUUACAGAUGGACCCGCGGCGCAUUAGCUAGUUGGUGAGGUAAUGGCUCACCAAGGCAACGAUGCGUAGCCGACCUGAGAGGGUGAUCGGCCACACUGGGACUGAGACACGGCCCAGACUCCUACGGGAGGCAGCAGUAGGGAAUCUUCCGCAAUGGACGAAAGUCUGACGGAGCAACGCCGCGUGAGUGAUGAAGGUUUUCGGAUCGUAAAGCUCUGUUGUUAGGGAAGAACAAGUACCGUUCGAAUAGGGCGGUACCUUGACGGUACCUAACCAGAAAGCCACGGCUAACUACGUGCCAGCAGCCGCGGUAAUACGUAGGUGGCAAGCGUUGUCCGGAAUUAUUGGGCGUAAAGGGCUCGCAGGCGGUUUCUUAAGUCUGAUGUGAAAGCCCCCGGCUCAACCGGGGAGGGUCAUUGGAAACUGGGGAACUUGAGUGCAGAAGAGGAGAGUGGAAUUCCACGUGUAGCGGUGAAAUGCAUAGAGAUGUGGAGGAACACCAGUGGCGAAGGCGACUCUCUGGUCUGUAACUGACGCUGAGGAGCGAAAGCGUGGGGAGCGAACAGGAUUAGAUACCCUGGUAGUCCACGCCGUAAACGAUGAGUGCUAAGUGUUAGGGGGUUUCCGCCCCUUAGUGCUGCAGCUAACGCAUUAAGCACUCCGCCUGGGGAGUACGGUCGCAAGACUGAAACUCAAAGGAAUUGACGGGGGCCCGCACAAGCGGUGGAGCAUGUGGUUUAAUUCGAAGCAACGCGAAGAACCUUACCAGGUCUUGACAUCCUCUGACAAUCCUAGAGAUAGGACGUCCCCUUCGGGGGCAGAGUGACAGGUGGUGCAUGGUUGUCGUCAGCUCGUGUCGUGAGAUGUUGGGUUAAGUCCCGCAACGAGCGCAACCCUUGAUCUUAGUUGCCAGCAUUCAGUUGGGCACUCUAAGGUGACUGCCGGUGACAAACCGGAGGAAGGUGGGGAUGACGUCAAAUCAUCAUGCCCCUUAUGACCUGGGCUACACACGUGCUACAAUGGACAGAACAAAGGGCAGCGAAACCGCGAGGUUAAGCCAAUCCCACAAAUCUGUUCUCAGUUCGGAUCGCAGUCUGCAACUCGACUGCGUGAAGCUGGAAUCGCUAGUAAUCGCGAUCAGCUGCCGUCCGCC